rnacentral:rRNA from 1 species
AGUAACACGUGGAUAACCUACCUAUAAGACUGGGAUAACUUCGGGAAACCGGAGCUAAUACAGGAUAAUAUUUUGAACCGCAUGGUUCAAAAGUGAAAGACGGUCUUGCUGUCACUUAUAGAUGGAUCCGCGCUGCAUUAGCUAGUUGGUAAGGUAACGGCUUACCAAGGCAACGAUGCAUAGCCGACCAGAGAGGGUGAUCGGCCACACUGGAACUGAGACACGGUCCAG